rnacentral:lncRNA from 1 species
AUGUACCUACGUAUUUUUUUUUUUUUUUUCCAUUAUAGCAAAGAAAUUAAUCACUUGCUGAAAAGUCCAUUUUGCAUUCAUAACGGAACUGGUAGAGUAUGUGUCCCUUUGGAUGUAAAAAACAUUAACAACUUUAAUCCACAAUUUGUACCAACAUUAAAGUUACUAAGAGAACAAUUUGACGAUCCACAAAAUGAAAAUGUUAAUGCAGAAUACAGGACUUCUUUAAAAAUUUACAUAGAUUAUUUUCGCAAUAACUUUGUGGAGAACAUUUUAUUAUCUUGUGUUGAAAAACGAAAAAGAAUGAGUGAAGGCCUAAAACACAAAGAUUACAAUAACAUAUAAAUUAACUAAUUUUUCUAACGAAACUUUAUUCAUUAAUUGCAUGUCAACACUUAAAAAGAGAAGCAUUUGUUUAAUGUUAAUGUAAACAGUUUGCUAAAAUUAUAACGUAAAAAAAAGUGCAUAAUUAUGAAAUUACAGUCAUAUAUAUAUAUACGUAUUUCAUUUACAUGCAUUAUAUGCAUUAUAUUCAUUAUAUUCGUUAUAUUUAUUAUAUUCAUUAUAUGUUUAUUUUUUUUUUUUUUUUUUUUUUACUAAAUAAACAAACCUUUUUAUAAAACCUUAUUCGUGAA